ACUAAGCGUACACGGUGGAUGCCCUGGCAGUCAGAGGCGAUGAAGGACGUGCUAAUCUGCGAUAAGCGUCGGUAAGGUGAUAUGAACCGUUAUAACCGGCGAUUUCCGAAUGGGGAAACCCAGUGUGUUUCGACACACUAUCAUUAACUGAAUCCAUAGGUUAAUGAGGCGAACCGGGGGAACUGAAACAUCUAAGUACCCCGAGGAAAAGAAAUCAACCGAGAUUCCCCCAGUAGCGGCGAGCGAACGGGGAGCAGCCCAGAGCCUGAAUCAGUGUGUGUGUUAGUGGAAGCGUCUGGAAAGGCGCGCGAUACAGGGUGACAGCCCCGUACACAAAAAUGCACAUACUGUGAGCUCGAUGAGUAGGGCGGGACACGUGGUAUCCUGUCUGAAUAUGGGGGGACCAUCCUCCAAGGCUAAAUACUCCUGACUGACCGAUAGUGAACCAGUACCGUGAGGGAAAGGCGAAAAGAACCCCGGCGAGGGGAGUGAAAAAGAACCUGAAACCGUGUACGUACAAGCAGUGGGAGCACGCUUAGGCGUGUGACUGCGUACCUUUUGUAUAAUGGGUCAGCGACUUAUAUUCUGUAGCAAGGUUAACCGAAUAGGGGAGCCGAAGGGAAACCGAGUCUUAACUGGGCGUUAAGUUGCAGGGUAUAGACCCGAAACCCGGUGAUCUAGCCAUGGGCAGGUUGAAGGUUGGGUAACACUAACUGGAGGACCGAACCGACUAAUGUUGAAAAAUUAGCGGAUGACUUGUGGCUGGGGGUGAAAGGCCAAUCAAACCGGGAGAUAGCUGGUUCUCCCCGAAAGCUAUUUAGGUAGCGCCUCGUGAAUUCAUCUCCGGGGGUAGAGCACUGUUUCGGCAAGGGGGUCAUCCCGACUUACCAACCCGAUGCAAACUGCGAAUACCGGAGAAUGUUAUCACGGGAGACACACGGCGGGUGCUAACGUCCGUCGUGAAGAGGGAAACAACCCAGACCGCCAGCUAAGGUCCCAAAGUCAUGGUUAAGUGGGAAACGAUGUGGGAAGGCCCAGACAGCCAGGAUGUUGGCUUAGAAGCAGCCAUCAUUUAAAGAAAGCGUAAUAGCUCACUGGUCGAGUCGGCCUGCGCGGAAGAUGUAACGGGGCUAAACCAUGCACCGAAGCUGCGGCAGCGACGCUUAUGCGUUGUUGGGUAGGGGAGCGUUCUGUAAGCCUGCGAAGGUGUGCUGUGAGGCAUGCUGGAGGUAUCAGAAGUGCGAAUGCUGACAUAAGUAACGAUAAAGCGGGUGAAAAGCCCGCUCGCCGGAAGACCAAGGGUUCCUGUCCAACGUUAAUCGGGGCAGGGUGAGUCGACCCCUAAGGCGAGGCCGAAAGGCGUAGUCGAUGGGAAACAGGUUAAUAUUCCUGUACUUGGUGUUACUGCGAAGGGGGGACGGAGAAGGCUAUGUUGGCCGGGCGACGGUUGUCCCGGUUUAAGCGUGUAGGCUGGUUUUCCAGGCAAAUCCGGAAAAUCAAGGCUGAGGCGUGAUGACGAGGCACUACGGUGCUGAAGCAACAAAUGCCCUGCUUCCAGGAAAAGCCUCUAAGCAUCAGGUAACAUCAAAUCGUACCCCAAACCGACACAGGUGGUCAGGUAGAGAAUACCAAGGCGCUUGAGAGAACUCGGGUGAAGGAACUAGGCAAAAUGGUGCCGUAACUUCGGGAGAAGGCACGCUGAUAUGUAGGUGAGGUCCCUCGCGGAUGGAGCUGAAAUCAGUCGAAGAUACCAGCUGGCUGCAACUGUUUAUUAAAAACACAGCACUGUGCAAACACGAAAGUGGACGUAUACGGUGUGACGCCUGCCCGGUGCCGGAAGGUUAAUUGAUGGGGUUAGCGCAAGCGAAGCUCUUGAUCGAAGCCCCGGUAAACGGCGGCCGUAACUAUAACGGUCCUAAGGUAGCGAAAUUCCUUGUCGGGUAAGUUCCGACCUGCACGAAUGGCGUAAUGAUGGCCAGGCUGUCUCCACCCGAGACUCAGUGAAAUUGAACUCGCUGUGAAGAUGCAGUGUACCCGCGGCAAGACGGAAAGACCCCGUGAACCUUUACUAUAGCUUGACACUGAACAUUGAGCCUUGAUGUGUAGGAUAGGUGGGAGGCUUUGAAGUGUGGACGCCAGUCUGCAUGGAGCCGACCUUGAAAUACCACCCUUUAAUGUUUGAUGUUCUAACGUUGACCCGUAAUCCGGGUUGCGGACAGUGUCUGGUGGGUAGUUUGACUGGGGCGGUCUCCUCCUAAAGAGUAACGGAGGAGCACGAAGGUUGGCUAAUCCUGGUCGGACAUCAGGAGGUUAGUGCAAUGGCAUAAGCCAGCUUGACUGCGAGCGUGACGGCGCGAGCAGGUGCGAAAGCAGGUCAUAGUGAUCCGGUGGUUCUGAAUGGAAGGGCCAUCGCUCAACGGAUAAAAGGUACUCCGGGGAUAACAGGCUGAUACCGCCCAAGAGUUCAUAUCGACGGCGGUGUUUGGCACCUCGAUGUCGGCUCAUCACAUCCUGGGGCUGAAGUAGGUCCCAAGGGUAUGGCUGUUCGCCAUUUAAAGUGGUACGCGAGCUGGGUUUAGAACGUCGUGAGACAGUUCGGUCCCUAUCUGCCGUGGGCGCUGGAGAACUGAGGGGGGCUGCUCCUAGUACGAGAGGACCGGAGUGGACGCAUCACUGGUGUUCGGGUUGUCAUGCCAAUGGCACUGCCCGGUAGCUAAAUGCGGAAGAGAUAAGUGCUGAAAGCAUCUAAGCACGAAACUUGCCCCGAGAUGAGUUCUCCCUGACCCUUUAAGGGUCCUGAAGGAACGUUGAAGACGACGACGUUGAUAGGCCGGGUGUGUAAGCGCAGCGAUGCGUUGAGCUAACCGGUACUAAUGAACCGUGAGGCUUAACC
rnacentral:rRNA from 1 species